AGGGGACGCCGGCGGGGAGUCAGGCCGGGCCUCAGGGGCGGCGGUGUGGCAGGUGGGCCUGCGAGGGCUUCCUCCAGGGCUGCAGCAAGGCCUUCGGCGAGCCUCGGCCUCCGCGCAGACGCCUCCUGAGUGUCUUGCUCUGCUCCGGGACUCUUCUGUGAAAGGCAAAGAGCAAGAGAAGACCUCAGAUGUCAAGUCCAUUAAAGAUGUUUAAUUAGCACCCACUAGGGACUGGGCACUGUUCUCAGCUCUGGAGAAAAUGGCAGUGAACAAAAUGGACAAAACCAUAGACCUUGUGGACCUCAUGCUUUAGUGUCGGGAAGAGACAUUCAGAUGACAAGAAAGUAAAAAGCAGUGUGGUCCGGGCCUUGGACAUUAGCUUCGUUGUCUGCAACCCUCUCAUAUGGAAAAACCCACACUUGCAGAAAUUGAGUUUAUCCAGGCCCUGAUUUCCACUGUCCUAACAGAAGCUGCCAUGACAGUCCGAUGGAACGCUUGUUAUGCAAUGGGAAAUGUAUUUAAAAAUCCCGCCCUUCCAUUAGGGACAGCCCCAUGGACCUCCCAGGCCUACAGCGCCCUGACAUCAGUUGUGACAUCAUGCAAGGACUUCAAAGUGCGCAUCAGAUCUACCACUGCCCUUGCCAUCCCGGGCAAGAGAGAGCAGUAUGGGUCUGUUGACCAGUAUGCUCGGAUUGGAUCUGGAACACAUUGGUCACCGCCUUACAGAAGAGCGAAGACACCACAGCCUUUUUGGAAUUCAAGUACUGUGCCAGCCUACAGACCCAAAUCUGCCAGGCACUCAUUUAUUUCCUGAGCUUGGCCAGUGCCUCAGACUUGCUUUGUAUCAGAGAAACCCUUGAACUGAAUGAGAAUAUGCUCCAGUCCUAUAUCCUACAGUUUCUAAAAUAAGGAGCAGAGGAAGAUGACACUGGAGCACCCCACAGCCCCCAGGAAAGAGACCAAAUGGUCAGAAUGGCCCUGAAGCGCAUGGGCAGUGUCCAGGCACUGACUGGAGACACAGCCAGAAGGGCCAUCAUGGGCUUUGUAGAAGAGAUCCUGGCCGUUUGUUUUGACUCAUCUGGAUCACAAGGGGCACUCCCAGGGUUAACAAGUCACUGAAGAUCCCACCAUACUUUCUAGGUGCCUGAGCUUGAGCAUAAGAUAUGUGGGAUUUCAUCUUAGGGGCAGAAACAAUCCAUUCACUAUUUAUUUAGAAUGACUUAGCAGCAAUUUAAAUUUUCGCAGAAGGCUCAGCCACCUUGGGAGUGGCUCCACAGCACUGACCAUGGUCAGACUUGUUGGAACCUCUGACCUGUGCAUCCAGGAGCCGAGGAGUCGGGUUGUAUUAUGGGCCAAGCAGAUAGGAGGGCUUUGAGGGCGUUUAGCCUCAGGGAAAAAAAAAAAAAGGCAGGAGGAUUUAGGAGUUAGAAUGUUGUAUAUUGUGUCUGUAGUUUUGUAAUAAACUAAUGAAAAACAGUGUGUCC